rnacentral:rRNA from 1 species
UGAAAGAAAAAAUUUUCAGUAUUUCCUGCUCAAUGAAUUUUUAAAUAGCCGCAGUUAUCCUGUGCUAAGGUAGCAUAAUCACUUGCCUAAUAAUUAUAGGAUAGAAUGAAAGGAAAACCAUGUGAUCUUCUUUAUCAAAAGGAAAAUUUUAAUUUAUAGAAUAAGUAAAAACUCUUAUUUUAUAAGGGGGACGACAAGACCCUAUCAAACUUUACUUUUAUGUUUAGCUGGGGCGGCAAGGUAACUAUAUCUUUCUAAAAAAAUACUUCUAUUAACCUCCCCUUAGAUUCACCAAGUUACUGUAGGGAUAACAGCAUAAUUUUUUCCCGAAGACCUUAUAAAAGAAAAAUUUUGUGACCUCGAUGUUGAAUUAAGUACCUUUUAGAAGUAGUAUUCUAAAAAGGAAGUCUGUUCGACUUUUAAAUUCUU